GAGUCUAAUUAAGUUAAUAAAAAAUUAUAAAGUUAGAGUUAAAUAACAAACAAUAAAUAAUCACAAUUAAAUAAUUAAAGAGUAAGAGAGAAAUUGAAUUUGGGCCUCCUUUGGGCCAAUUUCGCUGGAAAUUUUGGGUUUUAACCCAAUCCCGUUUUUGGUAUACAGCUGAUGUAUAUCAGUGUAUAUGAGCAUAUAUAUUAGCUCUUUUUGUGUAUAUCUUGCUUCCGAAUGGCUGCAUUUUUUAUUCCUGACCUCAACCUGUGGCUGCUGCAUUUUUACCAUAUGUGUCUGUGUAUAUCACCGUAUAUCAGUGAAUACAAGCUAUGUUUCAGCCUUUCGAAACCUAUUAUUUAGGCUUCCCUUUUGUUCGGAUGAGUGACGAGGCUGACCCGAUAAAGAAGGUUUUGUUGAGUUCCAUCCCGACAUGAAGAUGCAGGGGAAACGUGAGUCCAAUUGAACUCAUUUGGAGAACAAACCAUGCAUAGGAAAAUAAUAAAGAAUAUUAGUAUAUAACCGCAAUAUUAUCAUUCUUUGUCAAAGAAAACUAGUGCAUUAAAAUCACAUAUUAUGACUAAAUAACCCACCUUCAGGGCAGCAUAAGAACUUAACUCAUGACCAAGUGAACUUUGCAAAAGUGUGCGCAUGCACAACAUCAUCAGUAAAGAUCAAAUAAGAAUUAUUUAUUUAGACAUGAACUUACUAGCCUUUGACAUCUAAAGUAAACGGACCAACCAUUUUCAACCUAUCCAUAUGAAUAAAUCUUUGCAACUAACCCAACACAUAUUUAGACCAAUAUUUGAACGAAACUUAAUUUAAAAGAGGACUCAGGAUAAAUAAAUCAGGGAAUUGAUUAAAAGAAAUAGAUCAAGCUAAGCAAUGAGGACUUCACAUUAAACACUAAAUUAGCAGAUAAGAGUGGUACUUGGAGCAGAUUUAAACCAUGAAUCAUAAGAUAAGUCAAAUGUGAAUGAAUCCAAAACAUAUGGGUUUGAACCAAACUAGGUAACUAAAAAAAUAACGAGGUGAAAUCAGAGGACGACCACGCAUAAAUUGCAUCCUAUAUUCAGAGAUUGAAACACCAAUCCUUCAACAUAAUAAAACUUCACGAGGCAUUAAUAAUCAGAGAACCCAGAUCAGAGAAAUAUAAACAUAACAUGAAUACUUAGAUUUACACCCUAUAAUACACCUAAAAUGAGUAAAAUGAAAAGUAAAACUCAAGAGGCAGCCUAUGAGCUUAAACAAAUAACCAACGAAAAUCACACACAGUAGGCUAGGAUGAGACUAAAUUUAAGCUAAAACAUUAACAACAUAGAUUCAAAAUCGAAGGUUAUAGCGCUAAAUGAAGACAAGAGUGUAAUCAAUUCCAUGAAACUGAAUUGAGCUUUAACGUAGUUUCAUUUAUGUUCAUGGCAAAAGUGACCAAACUAGGGUGAAAUAAACAAACGAUAACAUUAAGGACGACAUUCGAUUACAGACAACUUCACAAAUCCAACAAGAACAAGUUACGAAAUAACAGAGACAAUGAUCAAGUUGAUUUAGAUAUUAAAAACUAAAAACCAUUAAAGACACAUAAAUGAAAGCAUGAAACAACGAAGAACCAAAUAAACCAAAAUUAAGAAGAGAAAUCACCUCUUUCCGGGCAGCGAAACGGGGACGAGACGAUCUGAGAGCAGCGAUUCUUCUAUCACGAAAUCUCAAUAUGAACAGCAAGCCAAGAGAAUCGGAACUUAGAAUCAAAGGACUAAAUGCGAAAAUCUAAAGUAUAAAGUGAUUAUUUGCUGAAAAACUC
rnacentral:lncRNA from 1 species